GACGAACGCUGGCGGCGUGCCUAAUACAUGCAAGUCGAGCGAGCGAAACUAACAGAUUUACUUCGGUAAUGACGUUAGGAAAGCGAGCGGCGGAUGGGUGAGUAACACGUGGGGAACCUGCCCCAUAGUCUGGGAUACCACUUGGAAACAGGUGCUAAUACCGGAUAAGAAAGCAGAUCGCAUGAUCAGCUUUUAAAAGGCGGCGUAAGCUGUCGCUAUGGGAUGGCCCCGCGGUGCAUUAGCUAGUUGGUAAGGUAAAGGCUUACCAAGGCGAUGAUGCAUAGCCUAGUUGAGAGACUGAUCGGCCACAUUGGGACUGAGACACGGCCCAAACUCCUACGGGAGGCAGCAGUAGGGAAUCUUCCACAAUGGACGCAAGUCUGAUGGAGCAACGCCGCGUGAGUGAAGAAGGUUUUCGGAUCGUAAAGCUCUGUUGUUGGUGAAGAAGGAUAGAGGUAGUAACUGGCCUUUAUUUGACGGUAAUCAACCAGAAAGUCACGGCUAACUACGUG
rnacentral:rRNA from 1 species